GUAUAGCCCUCCUAUUGGCCUUCGGAGGCCGGAUGGACCAAAAGUUGACCGCCUUCUCUUACAACUACAAGAACAGCAACGGCAAAAGGAGCUGGAGCGGGAAAGGCUGGAGCGAGAAAGAAUGGAAAGAGAAAGGUUGGAGAGAGAGAGGUUAGAAAGGGAAAGGCUGGAGAGGGAGCGACUGGAACAAGAACAGCUGGAGAGAGAGAGACAAGAACGGGAACGGCAGGAACGCCUGGAGCGGCAGGAACGCCUGGAGCGGCAGGAACGCCUGGAGCGGCAGGAACGCCUGGAUCGGGAGAGGCAAGAAAGACAAGAACGAGAGAGGCUGGAGAGACUGGAACGGGAGAGGCAAGAAAGGGAGCGACAAGAGCAGUUAGAAAGGGAACAGCUGGAAUGGGAGAGAGAGCGCAGAAUAUCAAGUGCUGCUGCCCCUGCCUCUGUUGAGACUCCUCUAAACUCUGUGCUGGGAGACUCUUCUGCUUCUGAGCCAGGCUUGCAGGCAGCCUCUCAGCCGGCCGAGACUCCAUCCCAACAGGGCAUUGUCUUGGGACCACUUGCACCUCCACCUCCUCCACCACUCCCACCAGGGCCUGCACAGGCUUCAGUAGCCCUCCCUCCUCCCCCAGGGCCCCCUCCACCUCCUCCACUCCCAUCCACCGGGCCUCCACCGCCCCCUCCUCCCCCUCCUCUCCCUAAUCAAGUACCCCCUCCUCCUCCACCACCUCCUGCCCCACCCCUCCCUGCAUCUGGAUUCUUUUUGGCAUCCAUGUCAGAAGACAAUCGCCCUUUAACUGGACUUGCAGCUGCAAUUGCCGGAGCAAAACUUAGGAAAGUGUCACGGAUGGAGGAUACCUCUUUCCCAAGUGGAGGGAAUGCUAUUGGUGUGAACUCCGCCUCAUCUAAAACAGAUACAGGCCGUGGAAAUGGACCCCUUCCUUUAGGGGGUAGUGGUUUAAUGGAAGAAAUGAGUGCCCUGCUGGCCAGGAGGAGAAGAAUUGCUGAAAAGGGAUCAACAAUAGAAACAGAACAAAAAGAGGACAAAGGUGAAGAUUCAGAGCCUGUAACUUCUAAGGCCUCUUCAACAAGUACACCUGAACCAACAAGAAAACCUUGGGAAAGAACAAAUACAAUGAAUGGCAGCAAGUCACCUGUUAUCUCCAGACGGGAUUCUCCAAGGAAAAAUCAGAUUGUUUUUGACAACAGGUCCUAUGAUUCAUUACACAGACCAAAAUCCACACCCUUAUCACAGCCCAGUGCCAAUGGAGUCCAGACGGAAGGACUUGACUAUGACAGGCUGAAGCAGGACAUUUUAGAUGAAAUG
rnacentral:lncRNA from 1 species